rnacentral:lncRNA from 1 species
GAGUACCACCACCGGGGGAGGGAGAAAAUCGGGUGGUCACCGCCAUGGAGAAGAAAGGCGGCUAGGUUAAAAAACCUGGCGCUCUGAUACCAUAUAGGAAGAAUAGAAUAUGAGAAGGAGAGAAAGAUAGAAUAGAAACCCCCAUUAUGUUAGGGGUUGAUUACAUGGAAUAUAUAUAGAGAAAUAUUGCAAGGUAAUAGAGUUUGACUAGGUAACUAAAUC